AUUGAACGCUGGCGGCAGGCUUAACACAUGCAAGUCGAGCGAGCGGCGGAAGGGUGAGUAAUGUCUGGGAAACUGACUGAUGGAGGGGGAUAACUACCGGAAACGGUAGCUAAUACCGCAUACCAUCAGAUGUGCACAGAUGGGAUUAGCUAUUAGGUGGGGUAAUGGCUCACCUAGGCGACGAUCCCUAGCUGGUCUGAGAGGAUGACCAGCCACACUGGAACUGAGCCACGGUCCAGACGCCUACGGGAGGCAGCAGUGGGGAAUAUUGCACAAUUGGCGCAAGCCUGAUGCGGCCAUGCCGCGUGUGUGAAGAGGGCCGUCGGGUUGUAAAGCACUUUCAACGAGGAGGCGUUACGCGCAGAAGAAGCACCGGCUAACUCCGUGCCAGCAGCCGCGGUAAUUC
rnacentral:rRNA from 1 species